AUUAUAACUAACAGAUUGAUGGUAUUAAGUACGUAUUCACUUCUUGGAACAAAUGGACUAUCAUUUUACAUACAUAAACAACCAAAUCUGCAACAACAACAAAAAAAAAACAAUAAUUAUGAUAAUAUUGUACAUAUCUUACAGUUAGACUAUACUAGUGGCUCUUGUCCAAAUGGUUUUUUCUUAACAUAUUUUACAUUUUUAGAAAUUAAAAAAAAAAUAAUAAAUAAUAUUACUUCAUCUUCCGCUUCUGACACAUCACUUUCAAGUGCAUCCUCAUUAUCCGCACAACCUACAACUAUACAUUUUAAUACAUUAUUACCUAAUUUGUCACCUCCCACAACAAUUCACAACAAAAAAAAAAAAUUUAUAAAUCAUCAAGGCUCACAAGAACAAAAUAAUAGUCACGAAAACAAUCAGAAAUCAUUAAAAUGUUUGUACUUAUUUGAUAUAUUAAAAACAUUUGUUAAAAAACACAAAGUUAGUACUAAUACUACAUAUAGCUCGUGUUUUCCUACCAAAGUUUCGUUCAAAGAUAACAUUAUGAAUAAAAUCAUUGAUUUUUUUAACGAUUACAAAAGUAAUACUAAUAUUAAUAAUAAUGAUAAUAAUGAUAAUAAUGAUAAUAAUGAUAAUAAUGAUAAUAUUAAUAAUAAUAAUAAUAAUAAUAAUAGUAAUAAUAAUAAUAUUAAUAAUAAUAAUAAUAGUAAUAAUCAUGUUACUAAUAAUAUGAAUGAAGAAAAUAAGUAUAUACUUAAAAAAAAGGAAGUAAUCAAUUAUAACUUACAACCUGGUAAUAACAGUCAAUGUGACUUAAAUGAUUCAUAUAAUUGUAAUCACUCGAAUACCCAAAAUAACGAACAAAACGAAGACAUAACUAAACAAGCACUAAUACAAAACAAUAUUAUUGACCAUGAAUUUUUUAUAAAAUCGUUCAAUAAUUUAUUAAUAAAUGAAGGAAUUAUUUAUUGUGCAUAUUACGAAUACAAACCUGUCGUUUACCGAAAAGAUACUAUAAAAAUUAUUAACGAAAAUGUGGA
rnacentral:lncRNA from 1 species